rnacentral:rRNA from 1 species
CCUACGGGUGGCAGCAGUGGGGGAUAUUGCACAAUGGGGGAAACCCUGAUGCAGCGACGCCGCGUGUGGGAAGACGGUCCUCUGUAUUGUAAACCACUGUCCCCAGGGACGAAAAUGACGGUACCUGGGGAGGAAGCUCCGGCUAACUACGUGCCAGCAGCCGAGGUAAUACGAAGGGAGCGAGCGUUGUCCGGAAUUACGGGGGGUAAAGGGAGCGUAGGCGGGGAGGCAAGUUGGGUGUAAAAACUACCGGCUCAACUGGGAGUCGCACUCAAAACUGCAGCGCUUGAGUGAAGUAGAGGCAGGCGGAAUUCCUAGUGUAGCGGUGAAAUGCGUAGAUAUUAGGAGGAACACCAGUGGCGAAGGCGGCCUGCUGGGCUUUUACUGACGCUGAGGCUCGAAAGUGUGGGGAGCAAACAGGAUUAGAUACCCGAGUAGUC